AGCAGACAUUAGGUGUAACGACUUCGGGGUUUCGUCUGUUUGUACUGGUGGCUGUAGUUAUCGCUGUGAAAAAUGGACAAGGCUGCACAAGAUAAUCGCACUAAUCAGUGCAACCCGACUCACGAGAAAACCGGUCCUGGUCGUGAUGCUGGUUACAAGGGAACAGGAACAAAAUCAGAUCUGGACAACCAUGCCAAUCAGUUGAAUCCGAACAAUCCUCGUUACCAAGGAGGUAAUAAAUAAGGAAGAGUGGAUGGUUUCUUCUGUAUGCCAGCACUUAACAUUAAGUGAUAAAACAUAAAAAAUUAAAAAUUUCCAGAAUUACUGUUUAAUACUUCUUAUGACACAAAGUUAUGUACUUUAAACCAACUAAAGACAACUAAAUGCCUGAAUUUUGAAAAGUC